ACUGCUCAGUAACACGUAGUCAACAUGCCCAGGGGACGUGGAUAACCUCGGGAAACUGAGGAUAAACCGCGAUAGGCCAUAAUUCCUGGAAUGGUUUAUGACUGAAACCUAUAUGGCCCCUGGAUUGGACUGCGGCCGAUCAGGCUGUUGGUGAGGUAAUGGCCCACCAAACCUGUAACCGGUACGGGCUCUGAGAGGAGAAGCCCGGAGAUGGGCACUGAGACAAGGGCCCAGGCCCUAUGGGGCGCAGCAGGCGCGAAACCUCUGCAAUAGGCGAAAGCCUGACAGGGUUACUCUGAGUGGUUCCCGCUAAGGGGAUCUUUUGGCACCUCUAAAAAUGGUGCAGAAUAAGGGGUGGGCAAGCCUGGUGUCAGCCGCCGCGGUAAUACCAGCACCCCGAGUGGUCGGGACGAUUAUUGGGCCUAAAGCAUCCGUAGCCGGUCA
rnacentral:rRNA from 1 species